rnacentral:rRNA from 1 species
AUUGAACGCUGGCGGCAGGCUUAACACAUGCAAGUCGAGCGGGGGAAGGUAGCUUGCUACUGGACCUAGCGGCGGACGGGUGAGUAAUGCUUAGGAAUCUGCCUAUUAGUGGGGGACAACAUCUCGAAAGGGAUGCUAAUACCGCAUACGUCCUACGGGAGAAAGCAGGGGAUCUUCGGACCUUGCGCUAAUAGAUGAGCCUAAGUCGGAUUAGCUAGUUGGUGGGGUAAAGGCCUACCAAGGCGACGAUCUGUAGCGGGUCUGAGAGGAUGAGCCGCCACACUGGGACUGAGACACGGCCCAGACUCCUACGGGAGGCAGCAGUGGGGAAUAUUGGACAAUGGGGGGAACCCUGAUCCAGCCAUGCCGCGUGUGUGAAGAAGGCCUUAUGGUUGUAAAGCACCUUAAGCGAGGAGGAGGCUACUCUAGUUAAUACCUAGGGAUAGUGGACGUUACUCGCAGAAUAAGCACCGGCUAACUCUGUGCCAGCCGCCGCAGUAA